rnacentral:misc_RNA from 1 species
AAGUCGUAACAAGGUUUCCGUAGGUGAACCUGCGGAAGGAUCAUUAACAAUGAAUCUCUUUCAUUACACUGUGCACUGUCGGGCGAAAGCCCAAACUAACGCUUAACUUUAAUCAGAGUCAAACUAUAUUUAUAGUCUUGUACAACUUUUAGCAACGGAUCUCUAGGCUCUC